rnacentral:rRNA from 1 species
GGAAUCUGCCCUUGGGUUCGGAAUAACGGGUGGAAAUGACUGCUAAUACCGGAUGAUGUCUUCGGACCAAAGAUUUAUCGCCCAGGGAUGAGCCCGCGUCGGAUUACCUAGUUGGUGAGGUAAAGGCUCACCAAGGCGACGAUCCGUAGCUGGUCUGAGAGGAUGAUCACCCACACUGGGACUGAAACACGGCCCAGACUCCUACGGGAGGCAGCAGUGGGGAAUAUUGGACAAUGGGCGAAAGCCUGAUCCAGCAAUGCCGCGUGAGUGAUGAAGGCCUUAGGGUUGUAAAGCUCUUUUACCCGGGAUGAUAAUGACAGUACCGGGAGAAUAAGCCCCGGCUAACUCCGUGCCAGCAGCCGCGG